AGGAUUUAAGAUGUCUUCGUUGGUCAGACUUCAUAGAAGACAAUAUGGAAGACUUUCAGUAGCUAAAAGCAUUGAAGAAUUAUGGCGGAAGGUGGCUGAUUAUUCAAAAGGGAAUGGAGAUAGCCAUGCACUGUGCCAGUACCCUCAGUUAGGUUUGGAGAUGCCAAAUCCUUUG